rnacentral:rRNA from 1 species
UACGGGGGGGUGCGAGCGUUGUCCGGAAUCACUGGGCGUAAAGGGCGCGUAGGUGGCAUGAUAAGGGUGUGGUGAAAGCCCGGGGCUCAACCCCGGGUCUGCCAUGCCGACUGUCACGCUAGAGUACUGUAGGGGCAGGCGGAAUUCCGGGUGUAGCGGUGGAAUGCGUAGAGAUCCGGAGGAAGACCGGUGGCGAAGGCAGGUCUCUGGGCCAUAACUGACGCUGAGAAGCGAAAGCAUGGGGAGCGAACAGG